rnacentral:rRNA from 1 species
AAUAGAUACCCAGGUAGUCCAUGCCGUAAACGUUGGGCACUAGGUGUGGGGGACAUUCCACGUUUUCCGCGCCGUAGCUAACGCAUUAAGUGCCCCGCCUGGGGAGUACGGCCGCAAGGCUAAAACUCAAAGGAAUUGACGGGGGCCCGCACAAGCGGCGGAGCAUGCGGAUUAAUUCGAUGCAACGCGAAGAACCUUACCAAGGCUUGACAUGAACCGGACCGGGCUGAAAACAGUCUUUCCCCUUGUGGGCUGGUUUACAGGUGGUGCAUGGUUGUCGUCAGCUCGUGUCGUGAGAUGUUGGGUUAAGUCCCGCAACGAGCGCAACCCUCGUUCUAUGUUGCCAGCACGUGAUGGUGGGGACUCAUAGGAGACUGCCGGGGUCAACUCGGAGGAAGGUGGGGACGACGUCAAAUCAUCAUGCCCCUUAUGUCUUGGGCUUCACGCAUGCUACAAUGGCCGGUACAAAGGGUUGCGAUACUGUGAGGUGGAGCUAAUCCCAAAAAGCCGGUCUCAGUUCGGAUUGGGGUCUGCAACUCGACCCC